GAUGAAGAACGCAGCGAAAUGCGAUACGUAAUGUGAAUUGCAGAUUUCAGUGAAUCAUCGAAUCUUUGAACGCACAUUGCGCCCGCUAGUAUUCUGGCGGGCAUGCCUGUUCGAGCGUCAUUUCAACCAUCAAGCCCUAGGCUUGCGUUGGAGCCCUGCGGCUGCCGCAGGCUCCCAAAUCCAGUGGCGGGCUCGUCGUCGUACCGAGUGCAGUAAACAUCCUCGCUCAGGGAACGUGACGGGUUCUUGCCGUGAAACCCCCCACAUAUCAAGGUUGACCUCGGAUCAGGUAGGAAUACCCGCUGAACUUAAGCAUAUCAUAAGCGGAGGA
rnacentral:misc_RNA from 1 species